GUAAUAUAUAUGUUCCAUGUAUCAUUUCUGCGCAAUCAUAAUUAAAUAGAAUUAAUAUAUACAGCAGUGCACAUUUUUCUUUUCCUGAAAACUAUUCGCAUAUUUCUCUGCAAAGUUCUUUCCCCUUUACUAUGGUAUACAGUAUCAUAUAUGGCUUGUUGACAUCUGAAUAUCUGAUGUUGAAACAAAGAGCAUCCUCUCUUUUCCACACGAUUUACCCUUGCUCAGCAGAACCUUGCCAGCCGAUAAAACUCAAUUUUGACCCUUCUUCCCCAUGGGUGCAAACCACAUGUAGGCCAUGAAAUUAAGGUACAAAACUACAAACAUACAUAAUCUGCUCAUUCCUGCUGACCAUCUGUGGAACGUAAACAUUGGCAAGCAUGACCCAAAUUGAGUAGCAGCUAGACCCGUAGUUUAAAAUUCCGAAUCCGGUCGAAAUUUCGGAUUCAGAAAAAAUGGUAUAUUCCGACCUAACAAAUAUGUCACCUGAAAUGUCGGGAAUGUUCUCGGAUAUUCCCGGAAUUUACAAUGUCGAUUCUCUAAAACCCGGCAUAUUCCGCCGAAAUUUCACGAAAUAUGUCGGCAUUUUGAACUAUGGUUAGACCUAGAAAGAGCACUGCACAAAAUCUUACAUAUUCUCACAAUGAUUCAUCUUCCAACAAUUACUCAAAGAUAGUUGACGGAAAAAAUCAAACAACUUUUCGAAAAACACAACCCACUCAAAACCGAGUAGCACAAUUGAUUUCAAAACUACGACCUUCACAUGUCUGUAACACCACAAGUAUAUUAUUUCUUUCUGAUGCUCGCUCUAUGGCCUAGGUUGUACUGAGGAUGGACUAUAGAGAUCCUUUCAAUAAUUUCAACACAAGACACCUGUUGCCACACUAUAUACAGUUAUAGAAGUUUACACUAGAGUAGUGGGUCGGAUAUGAAAUUUAAUUGAAGUUUCCACUAGCUAGAGCCCAAAUCAAAUAGCCUAAUGGACGCCCUUUUCACCUUUUGGCCUCGGCAAAAAUUUAGGCCUAGUGCCUAAAUCUAUUCCAAAAAA
rnacentral:lncRNA from 1 species